rnacentral:tRNA from 1 species
GCCGUGAAGGCACAUUUAGGGGACUGAAAAUCCCCGUGUCGGCGGUUCAACUCCGUCCCUCGGCACCA